GAUGAACGCUGGCGGCGUGCCUAAUACAUGCAAGUCGAGCGAACGGACGAGAAGCUUUCUUCUCUGAUGUUAGCGGCGGACGGGUGAGUAACACGUGGAUAACCUACUUAUAAGACUGGGAUAACUUCGGGAAACCGGAGCUAAUACCGGAUAAUAUUUUCAACCGCAUGGUUCAAAAGUGCAAGACGGCUUUGCUGUCACUUAUAGAUGGAUCCGCGCUGCAUUAGCUAGUUGGUAAGGUAACGGCUUACCAAGGCAACGAUGCAUAGCCGACCUGAGAGGGUGAUCGGCCACACUGGAACUGAGACACGGUCCAGACUCCUACGGGAGGCAGCAGUAGGGAAUCUUCCGCAAUGGGCGAAAGCCUGACGGAGCAACGCCGCGUGAGUGAUGAAGGUCUUCGGAUCGUAAAGCUCUGUUAUUAGGGAAGAACAUAUGUGUAAGUAACUGUGCACGUCUUGACGGUACCUAAUCAGAAAGCCACGGCUAACUACGUG
rnacentral:rRNA from 1 species